AACGUAGGACACAAGCGUUAUCCGGAGUUACUGGGCGUAAAGGGCGUGUAGGCGGAUCAAUAAGUCUAUUCUGAAAGCUCCUGGCUAAACUGGGAGAGGCGAAUGGAGACUGUUGGUCUAGAGUGAGGAAGAGGAAAGUGGAAUUCCGCGUGUAGUGGUGAAAUGCGUAGAGAUCCGGAGGAACACCAGUGGCGAAAGCGGCCACCUGGACUGCACCUGACGCUCAAACGCGAAAGCUAGGGGAGCGAACGGG
rnacentral:rRNA from 1 species